rnacentral:rRNA from 1 species
UACGAAGGGGGCUAGCGUUGCUCGGAAUCACUGGGCGUAAAGCGCACGUAGGCGGAUUGCUAAGUCAGGGUGAAAUCCUGGAGCUCAACUCCAGAACUGCCUUUGAUACUGGUGAUCUUGAGUCCGGAGAGGUGAGUGAACUGCGAGUGUAGAGGUGAAAUUCGUAGAUAUUAGGAAAGAACACCGGUGCGAAGGCGGCCCAACUGUCCGGUACUGACGCUGAGGUGCGAAAGCGUGGGGGAGCAAAACAGGAAU